GGAAACUGGGGGCAGGCGGUGGCGUGAAUGAGAGGGGGGCAAGCGUGGUUGGGAUUGAGUGAGGGGAAAGGGAGUGUAGGCGGUUGGAUAAGGCCGCCGUGAAAGCGCCAGGGGUAAGCUGGAAAGGGCAGAGGGGACUGGUCAGCGAGAGGAGGGGAGAGGGGGGCGGAAUGCCCGGUGUAGCGGUGAAAUGCGUAGAGAUCGGGAGGAAGGCCGGUGGCGAAGGCGGCGCUCUGGAACAUUUCUGACGCUGAGGCUCGAAAGCGUGGGGAGCAAACAGGAUUAGAUACCCCGGUAGUC
rnacentral:rRNA from 1 species